rnacentral:lncRNA from 1 species
CCGGAGGCCGGUUGGCCGCGCAAUCGCCGGUCGGAAGGGUUGCGGACGCGUGAAACAGAGAAGCUCUGUUUCAUGCGUCCCAGAUGAGUUGCGGCUCACAAAAAAAAUGCUAAGGGUCCAUGUGAAGGGAGUGGUCCACGGGUCCAUGGGAUUUAUUCACGGUCAGCAACCACUCUAAAUGAGAAAAGUCAACUUGUGAUACAAAUGGGUUAGCCCAUUUGAUCAUAAGUUAGUCUAUUUGGUUCUAAACCAAAUUUGCAGCCCAUUUGAAUGAAUUUUUGACCCGAAAAAAUUCCACAUGAGUCUGACUCAUAGGAGAUUCAAUUGGGUCUAGUUUCGGCUCGAUCCAAGUCCGACUUAGAUCAGAACAAAUACGAAAUUAAAUCCCAAUUAAAUCAUGAUCGA